CCAACAGGGAUUGCCUCAGUAACGGCGAGCGAAGCGGCAAAAGCUCAAAUUUGAAAUCUAGCGCCUACCAGCGUUCGAGUUGUAAUUUGAAGAAGGUAACUUUGGUAAUGGCCCUUGCAUAUGUUCCUUGGAAUAGGACGUCAUAGAGGGUGAGAACCCCGUUUAUGGUGAGGUGCUCCAUUGCUAUGUAAAGUGCUUUCUAAGAGUCGAGUUGUUUGGGAAUGCAGCUCUAAGUGGGUGGUAAAUUCCAUCUAAGGCUAAAUAUAGGCGAGAGACCGAUAGCGAACAAGUACAGUGAUGGAAAGAUGAAAAGAACUUUGAAAAGAGAGUGAAAAAGUACGUGAAAUUGCUGAAAGGGAAGGGCUUGACAUCAGACUCGGCUUGUAAUGAUCAACUGUCUCUUGGGACUGUGCACUCGUUGCUUGCUGGGCCAACAUCAGUUUUGGUGGUAGGAUAAUAACAGUGGAAUGUGACUUUGCUUCGGUGAAGUGUUAUAGCCUCUGUUGAUACUACCAACCGGGACUGAGGACCGCGCAUUUAUGCUAGGAUGUUGGCGUAAUGAUGUUAAGCCA
rnacentral:rRNA from 1 species